rnacentral:rRNA from 1 species
UACGAAGGGGGCUAGCGUUGUUCGGAAUUACUGGGCGUAAAGCGCGCGCAGGCGGUUCUCCAAGUCAGUGGUGAAAGCCCGGAGCUCAACUCCGGAACUGCCAUUGAAACUGUUGAACUUGAGGACGAGAGAGGUGAGUGGAAUUCCCAGUGUAGAGGUGAAAUUCGUAGAUAUUCGGAAGAACACCAGUGGCGAAGGCGACUUACUGGACACAUAUUGACGCUGAGGUGCGAAAGCGUGGGGAGCAAACAGG